CCCAGCAAGGGGGUGCGGUCCGCUCCUGAAAUCCAUGAGAAGCUCCAGGAAGUGCGGGAUCGCCUCACUGCUGAGCGCGCCCAACUUGAUGUCUGAUGUCUGAGAAUUCAGCGCCUGUAAUGGAUGUUUCAGUAUCUCGUUUGCUGCUUCUAGGCAGUUUUCUUUCUUUUUUGUUUUUGCUCGAGAAGACAUACUCCUUUUAAUUUGAACUCUGUAUAACCUGGUUUCAUUAAUGCAAUGGGACCGAGAGGUUUCAAGCCUUCUGUUACUCUAAAAAAAAACCAUAGGCAAACCAAUUUUGUGUGGGGCUAUUUUGGUUGUAAACCAAACAGGCCCUAGAAUCUUCGUUCUUUGAAUUGACAAUAUGAUAAUUUUGUGUGCGCGUGUCAAGCGGGCUAGCAUAUGAAUGGU
rnacentral:lncRNA from 1 species